UUGGGAACCAUUUCCCUUUGGCAUUUUUUUUUUAAUUCAUCCUUUGCUUCUGUGUAGUUCCCCAAGCUCUAGAUGGGACUUCCCGAUCAUUUGUCAAGUAAUCAACACUUAGCUGUUAUUACACAGAGCUCUUCAGAGGAAAGGUUUUCAAAUGAAUGGACAAUAGACAAUUCGUGUCUGAUAUGGCGAUUGCAUUGAAGACAGUGCCUUUGAGAAGGUGGCUUGUCACAUGGAUAUCAAUUCCCUUAGCCAACUGUGUCCAGGAGUUGUUAUGGGCCGGGAAACUCAAUCUCCUUGCUCCCUUUACAAUUCUGCCUAUCCGGACAGGUUACGCAGAGGUCUUUUUAAAAUGAGAACCUUUAUGUUUGUUGGAAUACAUGGCCGAGAGGAUCUGGGGCUGAAAGCGGGCUUCUGGAACAAAACCCCCAAUGCAGGGCAGGGGAAAGGAUGCCCAUUAUGGGGUGUUGUGAGGAGGCAGCGACACCCUGUAAUGGGAGAGAGCUGGAAAAUGGGGUUCUGUCCUCUGUCUGGGGAUUCUGGCUGAUAAAGAUUGAACAUGGCUGGCAACUCUCAAAUGUCAAGAGGUGAAAUCCCAGGGAAAAGGUGUACUUCAUUCUCCUGCAGAGAGGACUAUGAAAUAAAAAGAACAAGACUCUAAAGAGCCCUUGAAGCUCUAAUUUCUGGAGAAAAACAACAUUUCCCUGCCAUCUUAGUAGCUCCUGGGAAGCCUACGGUACUGGCUGGAGGCGGCCAUGAAGAGGAGUAACAACAGGUCCAAGGCACUGGCAAUGAAUCUCAACUUGAACAUCCGAAGCAUCAGCAAGUGGAGGGGAAUAGAAAUCCCUGGGACAAGUUCACCAGGAAGCACCGUGCAGGAAGAGACCGACCCCAUAGCAAAGCUUCCUGGGAUCAAGUGACAUAUAAUCCUGGUUGUUCUCAAAAUGGAUGCUUCCUUCUCCUGGAUUCCUACUCAAACCAGGAUGGACUUACUCAGUUUACAUAUUUAAGGACAGGCAGCCAGUACCCUGACCUUAUAAAGGGGCAUGGAUGAAAGAGGACUCUGUUGCUUCUCGAGGGGAAUUCCACGUCUCCUGAGCUCAUGUUUAGCCGUGUUCCAACUGUGUGCUAAACAUACAGUCCACGUACGACCGAUUAGCCAAAAUACUGAUCUGAGGUCUGGGGGUCUUCUGAUCCCUCCACCAGCUCGUCCCUCUUUCCUACCUCUGCUCAGUGGCAACACUUGUAUUUGAUCUCUGCUUAUUGCCCUCACUGGGCUGAGUUGUGUCUUUCCCUUGGAUGCUGAGCUUGGAUUUGCUUUUUAAGUCAUAGUAUUUUCCUCUGCUGUCACCUAAGGCAGGUCCCAGGCCACACGGCCUGUUCUAGGGCAUUGCCACUCAAUGUGUGGUCCCCAGAUCUGCUUACUUGUCCUCCAUGGGAUAAAUAUAGAAAUCAAGGGUAAGCUAUUCAAAACUUUUAAUAAGGACCUGAUAGAGCAAUUUUUAUAAAUUUAUAAUUUUUGUAACGAUCUAAUUAAAUCUGAUCUAUUAUUUAGAUAUUAAUCUAAUGAAAUCUAAUAAUAACACAAAUCGGACUUUUGCGUUUCUUUUCACCCCCACCCCUGGUAAUUCAUUUGGAAAAUAUUUUACAAAUUUUGGUCUUGUAAGGAUCAAGAAAAACAAACUUGCUUUCUAUGUACAUAGUUCGAGAAGCAGAGGUCUGGGGACCCCAUCUGGUUGCCAGACCCCAGAUGACCUCAUCUUUAGUCCUCCAUUUGAUCUCUCUAGUUAUUUCCAAGCACAGAGGCCAAGGAUGACCAAAGCUGCUCUUCAGAGAGGAUGGCCUCUGAUCACUCUGAGC
rnacentral:lncRNA from 1 species